GGGGAUUAGUGGCGAACGGGUGAGUAACACGUGGGCAAUCUGCCCUGCACUCUGGGACAAGCCCUGGAAACGGGGUCUAAUACCGGAUACUGAUCCUCGCAGGCAUCUGCGAGGUUCGAAAGCUCCGGCGGUGCAGGAUGAGCCCGCGGCCUAUCAGCUAGUUGGUGAGGUAACGGCUCACCAAGGCGACGACGGGUAGCCGGCCUGAGAGGGCGACCGGCCACACUGGGACUGAGACACGGCCCAGACUCCUACGGGAGGCAGCAGUGGGGAAUAUUGCACAAUGGGCGAAAGCCUGAUGCAGCGACGCCGCGUGAGGGAUGACGGCCUUCGGGUUGUAAACCUCUUUCAGCAGGGAAGAAGCGAAAGUGACGGUACCUGCAGAAGAAGCGCCGGCUAACUACGUGCCAGCAGCCGCGGUAAUACGUAGGGCGCAAGCGUUGUCCGGAAUUAUUGGGCGUAAAGAGCUCGUAGGCGGCUUGUCACGUCGGUUGUGAAAGCCCGGGGCUUAACCCCGGGUCUGCAGUCGAUACGGGCAGGCUAGAGUUCGGUAGGGGAGAUCGGAAUUCCUGGUGUAGCGGUGAAAUGCGCAGAUAUCAGGAGGAACACCGGUGGCGAAGGCGGAUCUCUGGGCCGAUACUGACGCUGAGGAGCGAAAGCGUGGGGAGCGAACAGGAUUAGAUACCCUGGUAGUCCACGCCGUAAACGGUGGGCACUAGGUGUGGGCAACAUUCCACGUUGUCCGUGCCGCAGCCUAACGCAUUAAAGUGCCCCGCCUGGGGAGUACGGCCGCAAGGGCUAAAAACUCAAAAGGAAUUUGACGGGGGGCCCCG
rnacentral:rRNA from 1 species